AGCAGCCGCGGUAAUUCCAGCUCCAAUAGCGUAUAUUAAAGUUGUUGCAGUUAAAAAGCUCGUAGUUGAAUUUCGGGAUUAAUUUACUGGUCGUGCUAUUGUACAUACUGGUUUUAUUGAUUCCUCCCUUCUGACGAACUAUGAUGUCAUUAAUUUGGUGUCAUAGGGAAUCAGGACUGUUACUUUGAAAAAAUUAGAGUGUUUAAAGCAGGCUCACGCUUGAAUACAUUAGCAUGGAAUAACGGAAUAGGACGUUUGAUUCUAUUUUGUUGGUUUCUAGGAUCGACGUAAUGAUUAAUAGGGAUAGUUGGGGGCAUUAGUAUUCAAUUGUCAGAGGUGAAAUUCUUGGAUUUAUUGAAGACUAACUACUGCGAAAGCAUUUGCCAAGGAUGUUUUCAUUAAUCAAGAACGAAAGUUAGGGGAUCGAAGACGAUCAGAUACCGUCGUAGUCUUAACCAUAAACUAUAGCCGACUAGGGAUCGGAUGAUGUUAAUUUUUUAAUGACUCAUUCGGCGCCUUA
rnacentral:sRNA from 1 species